GUGGUAAUGCCGGAUGCUCCAUCACACUGCAUGGUGUGUUGGGAAAGCCUUUGCGGCAUGGGAUGGGGUCGCGUCCUAUCAGCUUGAUGGCGGGGUAACGGCCCACCAUGGCUUCGACGGGUAGCCGGCCUGAGAGGGCGACCGGCCACAUUGGGACUGAGAUACGGCCCAGACUCCUACGGGAGGCAGCAGUGGGGAAUAUUGCACAAUGGGCGCAAGCCUGAUGCAGCGACGCCGCGUGAGGGAUGGAGGCCUUCGGGUUGUAAACCUCUUUUGUUAGGGAGCAAGGCAUUUUGUGUUGAGUGUACCUUUCGAAUAAGCACCGGCUAACUACGUGCCAGCAGCCGCGGUAAUACGUAGGGUGCAAGCGUUAUCCGGAAUUAUUGGGCGUAAAGGGCUCGUAGGCGGUUCGUCGCGUCCGGUGUGAAAGUCCAUCGCUUAACGGUGGAUCCGCGCCGGGUACGGGCGGGCUUGAGUGCGGUAGGGGAGACUGGAAUUCCCGGUGUAACGGUGGAAUGUGUAGAUAUCGGGAAGAACACCA
rnacentral:rRNA from 1 species